rnacentral:lncRNA from 1 species
GGCUCAAUCAACUCGGCUACUGCUGCUGAUCAAGAAUAUAUAUACUUUGUGGGGUCGGAAACGUUUCCUUCUGUGCGUUACAAACAUCAGUUGUUCCCCAAAAACACAAUAUACCCUAUUUACUCUUCAAGUUUCGUUUAUAAAAAGCAAGCAUUCGGUUGAGUGGGCGAGGUCCAUGCAACAAGAAUACGAUGCUCUCAUUGCAAACGAAACCUGGUCUUUGGUUUACC